CCUACGGGGUGCAGCAGUGAGGAAUAUUGGUCAAUGGCCGUAAGGCUGAACCAGCCAAGUCGCGUGAAGGAAGAAGGAUCUAUGGUUUGUAAACUUCUUUUAUAGGGGAAUAAAGGUAUCCACGUGUGGAUAUUUGCAUGUACCCUAUGAAUAAGCAUCGGCUAACUCCGUGCCAGCAGCCGCGGUAAUACGGAGGAUGCGAGCGUUAUCCGGAUUUAUUGGGUUUAAAGGGUGCGUAGGUUGGUUUUUAAGUCAGCGGUGAAAGUUUGUGGCUCAACCAUAAAAGUGCCGUUGAAACUGGAAGACUUGAGUGUGUUUGAGGUAGGCGGAAUGCGUGGUGUAGCGGUGAAAUGCAUAGAUAUCACGCAGAACUCCGAUUGCGAAGGCAGCUUACUAAGCCAUAACUGACACUGAAGCACGAAAGCGUGGGGAGCAAACAGGAUUAGAUACCCCAGUAGUC
rnacentral:rRNA from 1 species